CCGCGGGGCCGGGAAAAGUUUGCGGCGCGUCCGCGGGGCCCCGACCAGCGGGGACUCUGGGGCGCGUCGUCGGCGGGAGCGCGGUGGUCUUCUGUCUGCAAGUCCAUUGUUCUGUUAUAUGCGGGAGUGAGUGGAAACAAAGUUGCAAGGCUCAGAGAGUGAGCCGCUGGAUUCUACACCCAGAAAGGAAAGGUGCAGCCAUUUAAGGGCGUGUGAUUUCAAGGAAGUGUCUGCACGAGCUGGCCUUGCAGCAGUGGACGGCACAGCUGAAGUGCUGGCAGCACAGCUCCAGCCUGGGCGAGUCAUCAACCUUUUCAGGCCUUGCUUCCAGGCCCUGGGAAGCCCUCUGACACAAUGUUCUCCAGUCUUCUCAAAGAAAUAGUUAUUGUGAAGGUUUGAAAUUGUGCUUUCUGCCAGGAGGUGCAGAUCACAUGAGUAAAUGCAAAAACAGCUCAAAGUAGGAAGAGAAUGACCUAUGUGCUUUUCCAUAGCUUUUUAGUUAUUCUGCGUAAAUAUUCAGAAUGUCGCUUGAUUUUUGACUUUCAGUCAUGAAUGUAGCUGUUCCAAAGCUUAUUGAAAUACGUGCUGAUACUCAUUCCAUCAUCCAAGAAGUGUUUAUUGAGCACCUACUCUGUGCCGGCUCCAGACACUGAGGAUGAAUCAGUGAACAGAAACAAAAUCUUAUCACAUGAACCCACAAAUAAAUAUGUAUAAUGUAUCAGGCUAUAAAUAUCUUGUUUAUUCUGUAUGUCUAUAAUAUCUAAUCUUAUUCAAUGGUAUCAUUCAUUGCUUUUUUCGGUCUUUCAAAACUAAAUGAAUUUAAAUAUCCUGGAACAUUUAUUUCACUGUCUAUGAAAAACAUCUAGAUACAAAUCUACAUAAUGUUGUUCGCUUUUGCAUUAUUCUUCCAAGUAUAUUCUCAUUGUUCCUGGUCUGUUUUGUGACAUGAAUAAGUAGUACUAAUUAACAUGCUUGAGAGGUCAUGUUAUAUAUGUAUAUAUAUUUACUGAGAAGAUAUUGCCAAGCGGUUAUAUAACUAAAAGGCUAAAGGUAUCUGUGUUUAUAUGCAUGUUUGUAUGUGUAUUUAUUAAGUAUCUUAUAUAUAUUCAAACUACCAUUGUAUAUAGUACAAGUAAAGUUUAUUAAUUUGAACUUUACUCUUUGCAAGUUUACAGUUCUCCAGGUACUGAUAAGGAUGAUUUAUCUUUAUAUUACAUUUGUAUGUUUAUUGUUUGAUAAGCAAAUGUUAUAAAUACCUUUUUAAAAACUAUUUUUAAAUGUAAACAUCCAUUUAUAUUUGAAAAAAAUAUAAGCUUUAACUGAUCAUUCUUUGAAAGCUUGUGUCAU